GCCUGGGUGGCUCAGCAGUUGAGCAUCUGCCUUUGGCUCAGGGAGUGAUCCCGGGGUCCUGGGUUCAAGUCCCACCUCAGGCU
rnacentral:tRNA from 1 species